rnacentral:snRNA from 1 species
GAGUGUGAGGGUGAUUUGGCUGCAACAUCUGUCACCCCAUUGGUCACCAGGAUUGAUUCGGCUGAUCUUGCUGGCUAGGUGGGUUUCCCCUUUCUACUUAACUGUUCCAUGUGCGUCCCUCCCAAAGCUGCAGACUCAGUGGAAGAGGAUGAUGUCCCAGGAAAAAAGGAGUGUACCGAGGUCCCCAUUUUUUGAUUCUGGGUAUACAAUA